AUAGCAAGCCCUCCAUAAGUGUUAGUCAUUACUGUCAUUAUGUUAUAAAGUAUGCAAAAUUGACCUGGACUUUUUUUAUAAUUGAAAGACAGACAUUGAAGCAUUUGUUGUGUCUGUGUGUUGGGUUUGAUGAGGCUGUGAAACUCCCAGAAGCACUUCUUCUGGAUACUUCAUUUAUGGGAGUGGGAACUAAGCAUAUCUGAGGGGUGGGAAAUGUCACUUUACUGCUGGUAAUGCUGUAACUCAGCUGUGAGCGAUUAGGAGUCUUGCAAACUGAAGGCUCUCAGAAUUCCACAAUUCCAGGCAGCAGGGAGCUUGUAAAUGUGUGCUUGUAAUAUGUGUCCCCAGUACACACAUUUGUGACCAAAUCAUUAGAAAUCUUUCUAGAAAAAAUAAUAGGUCAUAAGUACAAAAUUCUAAUUUGUACUUUAAAUGUUUCAUGGAUAGAAUAUAAAGGUGGGUCCUCUUGAUUUUUAAUCCUAUUAUAAGCCUGUAAAGAUUGGAUGGCUACGAAUGCAAAGUAAUCUUGCCCUGCUCAUGUGUAGUAAUAUCUGCGCACAGUAGGAAACAGGUCUCAUGAUCAUUAUUCUUGCUCUGUGUUUGAAACCAAGUGCUAAUAUUAGUCAAAUAUAACUUCUUAGAAUGAACAUUGGCAUUUGCUUUGUUGAUAAAUUACUAUAUUAAAUAUAUUUUUUAAAUUUUCCUGCCACGAAUUAAGGAAGAAAUUGGUAAUUAAGAACAAAAGGUACAUGAUACCAUGUACAUACAAUGUACCAGAGGUACGUUUCAAUGACAUGAUAUGUUAACUUGAAAUAUUUAUGAUUACUUCAUAAUGAAUUAGAAAUCAAGACUAUGACUGAAGCAUAUCCAUAACUUUAUGACUUAUUCUGCAUUCAGAAGUAGCUAAAGAAAACAAUGGCCUUGGUGUAUUACAGAUGUUCUUUAACCCACCCAUUUUUAAAGUCCCCAUUUGCUUUAAAUAAAGCAGCUCCUACUGUAAAUGCCUUUUAUUUCUUGAUUUUUAAAAGAAAUUCCGUGAUUUUUCUACUAAAAAAUCCCCAGUCCUGACUGUGCACUCUUUCUGCUAGGACAUGAGAUUGCCCCCAAAAUAUCUGAAAGACAUCAAUGUUUUGGAACUUUUUCAGCAGAAAUAAAUUUCUGUCAUAAAAACAUCAUGAGCUCAGUCAAGCCAGGCUCAAUAGCAGUUGCCUGGGGGCAAAUAGAUUAAUCAAAACCAGGAAUUCUCUCUCCCACACCUCUAGGAGUGAGUCCCUAACAUUUCUGUAGCAUAUAAACAAUUUGCCUAUAACAUAAGGGCAGCUAAAGGGAAUAUUCUUAAUAUUUAAAAUAUAAUCUACUUUGUUCCCUCCACAGAGAUUUUUUUUUUGCCUGUGUGCUUAAAUAUUGUUUUCUUUUCCCUAUAACUCUUCCUCUUCUAUUCUUCAACUAAAUUAUUUAGUAAAUGCAUUAAUCUCAGCCUUUAUUUGUGCUCUAAUGCUUUUCUGAUGGGCUUCUCCUCCACAGCUGCCUUUUUUAAAAGCUGCAUUUUGUGUACCUCUUUUAGACAGCUCCCAAUAUAACCAGAUGCAAGUAUAGCUGGGGGCAGCUGGAGAUAUUCACCAUCUAUGUGGAAAAGAACUUGCAUUAGUAUUAGCCUCAUGCUUUGCCUGCCACUAACUUUAGUGACAUGUGAUGGUGACAGUGAUGGUAAGUUGCUGCUGCUUCUUUCUUUCUUCAUUCGUAGUUCCUUCUAUUUGAUUAACAUGACACAAAGUUGCUCAGGGUGAGACAAAUCCUGUGGAAGGCUAGAGAACAUAAGAAACCAUCUGUACGGUUCGUGGAGGCUCUCAGGCCUCGUCUGCUUAGGGCCAUUAUCUACUUGCAACUCCUGCUAGGGCUGUAAAUGCCGACAAUAAUGUUUAUAAUAUUAACAGACAGUUAUCAAACAGAAUCGGCUAUUAGGAUAAAGUUCCUAUUCCAAGGAUUCGAGUAGGUGUAUCCUUUUCUAUCUUCACCCACCAGGCCAAUCAUGAAAAUAUUUUUUAAAUUGCUUUUAUUUGAUAUAUUCUAAGAAUAUAUCCUAGGGUCUUUUCUAAUCAGAGAUCCUACUGAUUAUAUCACCAACUGAAACCCAUAAACUUCAUAUUUGUCCUGGAAUGCACACACCUAACAUUUUCCUCUCAUCUACAUGAAGCUGAAUACAUGUUUUCUAUUUAUCUCAACCUUCUAUUGUUCUUUCUUUCUGAUUAUUCUCUUUAUUUUUUCCUGGGGUCAGAUCUAAAACUCAUUCUACCUACACUUUCCUUGAUUUCUGAUAGUUCUGCUAUUUUAAUAUAUCCAUGCUUUGAAAUCUUGUUUUUUGUUUGUUUGUUUUUGUUUUGUUUUGUUUGGGAAGGAGUCUCACUCUGUUGCCCAGCCUGGAGUGCAGUGGCGCGAUCUUGGCUCACUGCAAGCUCCACCUCCCGGGGUCACACCAUUCUCCUGCCUCAGCCUCCCGAGUAGCUGGGACUACAGGCGCCUGCCACCACGCCCGACUAAUUUUUUUUUUUUUUUUUUUUUUGUAUUUUUAGUAGAGACAGGGUUUCACUGUGUUAGCCAGGAUGGUUUCGAUCUCCCGACCUCGUGAUCUGCCCACCUCGGCCUCCCAUAGUGCUGGGAUUACAGGCAUGAGCCACCGCGCCUGGCCUGAAAUCUUGUUUUUCAGGUUUACUUUAAUAUGGAUUGUUUCCCCCCAUCAAUCUGUCCAAUAACUUUAGUACAAUAACUUGCUUGCUCACAUGCCUGCUAUCAGUGUCAUCUGGAGACUCACAGUUUUAAGUCUCUGGCUACCCAGGUUUGGUACCUCAGUAGACACAGAUUUUUUUGUAGACACGUACUGAUGACACCACUUGGAGGUUCCUCUCUAGGAAAUCCAAGAAACCCCUUAUACUACUGGACAUCUGCGAGUGGAUGUACUAUUGCCACUAGAACUAUCCAAGCCUAUUUGGACAUAUGCAGUACAUAUGUCCUUAGUAUAUAUUUUACAGAGAGGUUAUGUAAAGUUAUCAAGGGCAUAGAAAGUCUUUUUUCCUCUAUGAAAAUGAUGGUGUUUUGUUUUUCUGGGGACAGAGUUAUAACUCUUGUAGUUGUGACCUUUUGCUUGCAGGUUGUUUUGACCUCCCACAGAAAAUCUCCCAUAUCUCUGUUUCACAAACAUCUCUCUGCUUGGACUAUAAUUACUGCUUCCUAGCUAUUUAAAAUAAUGCCGCUCAAAAGUCUUUGGUGUCUUUCCAGACUUAAUUUGGUCUUUGUUUUUCCCAGUUGAAGGCACACCUGUUUGCUUUUUAGGCCCUAUUUACAUGUGCACUGCAGCAGAAUUGAACGGUUGAAAGUAUUAUUGCAAGGUUGGUGAAUUGGCUGCAUUCCAGAGCUUUGUUGUGGGUGGUCCUGUCUUGUCAUUGGCGGUUGAACAUGACAUUAAGAUUAUAUUUGGAAAACUGCUCAAGGAGCAGUGAGUGU
rnacentral:lncRNA from 1 species